GGGUCUGUAGCUCAAUUGGAAGAGUGCCACGGGCGGUUGCUCCUUUGGGCGGUUGCUCUUAGGUGGUGGGUACUGGGAUCGAAGCCCAGCAGAGCCU